CCCGCCCCGCGCCGGGCUCGCCGCAUGGCUCCGCCGCCCGCCGGGGCGCCGCCGGCCCGGGCCGCCGCUGCCAGUGACGGGGAGCCCCGGAGGGGAAAUGCAUCCUGAAUGGGGCUGAGGCCCCCUGCUCGGGAAUAUGCAGCCUCGGCACCGCGGAGGCAGCACCAGGGCAGCGGCCGGCGUGCGGCGGGAUGGUGGCAACCUUCAAGAUCGCCGUGCUGGGAGCCCAGGGCGUGGGCAAGAGCGCCAUAGUCCGGCAGUUCCUGUACAACGAGUUCAGCGAGGUCUGCGUGCCCACCACGGCCCGCCGCGUCUACCUGCCCGCCGUGGUCAUGAACGGCCACGUCCACGACCUGCAGAUCAUGGACUUUCCCCCCAUCACCGCCUUCCCUGUCAACACCCUGCAGGAGUGGGCAGACGUGUGUUGCAGGGGGCUCCGGAGUGUCCAUGCCUACAUCCUGGUCUAUGACAUCUGUUGCUUUGACAGCUUCGAGUACAUCAAAACCAUCCGCCAGCAGAUCCUGGAAACAAGGGUCAUCGGCACCUCGGAGACGCCCAUCAUCAUCGUGGGCAACAAGCGGGACCUGCAGCGGGGCCGGGUGAUCCCGCGCUGGAACGUCUCCAACCUGGUGAAGAAGACGUGGAAGUGCGGCUACAUCGAGUGCUCGGCCAAGUACAACUGGCACAUCCUGCUGCUCUUCAGCGAGCUGCUCAAGAGCGUGGGCUGCGCCCGCUGCAAGCACGUCCACACCACCAUCCGCUUCCAGGGCGCGCUGCGCAGGAACCGCUGCACCAUCAUGUGAGCCCCCUGCCCCCAGGGACCCCGGGGCCGCCGCUGGGGCCGCCCAAACUCGGGGAUGGUUCUGCUCCCCGGGAGGUGGGAGCUGUGCUGGAGGCACCUCGGGGGGUGCUGAGGUGACAUUUGGGGACGGGGCGCCUUGGGCGGGGUGGUGCAGGGGGUGGCCAGGCUGAGGGGUGAGGGAUGGCCUUGGCUAAACCCCUGAGCUCUCUCCAAGCCUCCAGUGCUUGAGGCCAAAGCCAUCCCAGGGGGUUGUACAGGGGGGUACCCUCAGAUUUUGGCUGUCGGUUCAUCCUUGCCAGUUCCUGCCCUGGCAGCACAGGGGCAGUGCUUGGUGCUGCCUGCCUGCCGUCGCCUGCUCCUGGAAGGGAAUUAUCCCGCACCUGUAUCCCGGUGUUCUGGGGCUGGUUCUGUCUCUGGGGCAGAGGGAAACAGGAGUUCUGCUUUUCCCCUUGUGGAGCUGGGAUUUCGCCCUGUGGAGGGCAGAGGAGCCAGGUUACGUGGCUGUCUUUAGGCUCGGUCGGGUCAGAGUUCCAGGUGGAAUUUCUGGAUGAAAGCAAGAAAGGGGGAAAAACCUAAGUUCCAAUCCUGCUCCUGAUAUCCCCGGGAGCUGGGUUCUGCCUUCCCAGGGCUCUGAGCUCCCCUCUGCCCCAGCACAGCCCCAGCACAGGAAGGUUUCUUCUCCCCCAAGCCUGUGAACACCAAAUAAUCUGGGAACACUCCUUGCCAGGCAGGUCACCCCUUUGCUACCUCUCGUCCUGGGCUCAGCAGGUGAUGGCUUCACCCCAGCCCCCGGGGUGUCCCGGGCAGGUGGGCAGCCCCUGUGCCCCCCGGGUGCCCCCGGGGUGUCCCGGGCAGGUGGGCAGCCCCUGUGCCCCCGCAGCCCCCGGCAGCGCCAGCAGGUCCGACCCUGCCAGGUUUUCCCACAGGGAUGUUGCCUCGGCAGCAACAGGGAGCUGGAGCAGCACUUCCAGUUGCAUUCUUGUUUUGUUGUUUUUUUUUUUUUUCUCUCUGCAUAUCACUAAUAGGAAAGUGAGCCCUCCAUAUUUUUUUAAUUAUUAUUUUUUAAUCUUCUGGUUUACGUUUGCACCAGAGCUGCAGCUCACCUGCAUCCUGCCCUGCAGGGCGGGUUGGCAAAGGGCAGCCCCUGUUAGGAAAUGAUGAUGGGGUGGUGAAGGGGGAGCAAGAUGCCAAGAGGGUCGUGGUUUCUCCAUGGCUGAUCCCUGUGAGACACAGGGAAACACCAUCCUCAUCUCCUGAGGCAGGAUCUGUGUCUGACCCAUCCUCCAGCAAAACCAUCUCCGUGAUUCCCGCUGUCACAAGGAGCUGAAGGGGUUCAGCACUGCUCUGGGCAGCAAAACAGGACACCCAGCCCUCUCUGCCACCACAGCCAGGUGUCCAUGGCCCAGCAGCUCCACCGUGCUCUUGGAAAUGCUUCCCAUUAAAGGCAGCUCCAGCUGAGCUCCAGUGCCUCUCACUGCCCCAUCCCUGUGCCAGGGCUGGGGGUGCAUCCUGCUCCUCCCUCCCUGCUUAGGGAAUCAAACUCCUUGCUCCAAAAUUUAAAAAAAAAAAAAAAAGGGAAAAAAAUUAGGAAAGGCAAAAGGGGGGGGGGGGCACGGGUCCAUCUCAGCCAGGAAGGGCAGUGGCACUUGUCACCAUCCCUCGCCUUCAUGGCAAACCUGCCUCCCCCAUCCAAGCUCACCCUGUCAGGAUUUAUUAACACAUGUAAGUCCACUUAUCGAUCUCUGGCUAGAGCUUUAUCCCUCCAAAUUGUCUGAGAAGGAAACUCCUUGGUAAAUGCUAAUAAUAAAGCAUUUAUGAAGUGCUCCGACGUACACAUAUCAACGACUAAGCCAAUACAUUGUUUGUUAUAACCCUGUAGCCUGCAGUUUAUAGCACAAUUAGUUACAGGUUUUUAUAGCAUCUAUUUAGUAUUUUGAAGAAAAAAAAAAAAGGUUAUAAAUAUAAUUGUUAUAUUCUAUUGUACUUUAUAGACAGAGGAAGUUAUAUUAGUAAUAAUAACAACUCUCACUGCUUCGACAGCAUUUCCCAGCUCCCGGGAAAACGAGGGCUACAAAGAGUUACUUUCCCACGAGCCCAGGAAGGGGUAGGAGGUGCUGGUGGCACCCUGGGUGCAGGCAGGGAAUCCCAGGCAGGAAGAUCCGAGGUGUCCAGGCACAGGGGUUGGAGCACACGGGAGCACGGCAGCAGCCACGAGCGCCCCGCGGCCCUACUCACACCUUACUACAGAUUUACCACUCACCCAACGCCACCCUGCUCCUGCUGAGAGCAACCUGGGCCUGGCACAGGCUGGGGUGUCCCCACUGCUGUGCCCAGGGCAGUGCCAGGUUUCUGCCCCCGUGCUCGUGGAGGUGAUGCCUGGGUUCGGUUCGGCCCCACCAAGGAUGCUUCCCUGUCCCUCUCCUCCUGCUCCAGUGAGCACCCCAGUUGCCUGGACUUGGCUUUCCUUUCCCCCCUGGACUCCUUGUCGGAGAUUCCCGAGGUGUCUACACCGCCUGUGACGCCCUGCACCUCCUUCUUUGAAAUUGAAUUAAAAAUCAGGUCUGUCCCCCUUGUUCUGUA